GGUAGUGCUGGCGGCCCCCUUAUAUAUGCAGUCCAACGGCAGCGCGAGAGAGCUUGCUCUCUUGGCGGCGAGUGGCGGACGGGUGAGUAAUGUAUCGGAACGUGCCCAGUAGCGGGGGAUAACUACUCGAAAGAGUGGCUAAUACCGCAUACGCCCUACGGGGGAAAGGGGGGGAUCGCAAGACCUCUCACUAUUGGAGCGGCCGAUAUCGGAUUAGCUAGUUGGUGGGGUAAAGGCUCACCAAGGCAACGAUCCGUAGCUGGUUUGAGAGGACGACCAGCCACACUGGGACUGAGACACGGCCCAGACUCCUACGGGAGGCAGCAGUGGGGAAUUUUGGACAAUGGGGGAAACCCUGAUCCAGCCAUCCCGCGUGUGUGAUGAAGGCCUUCGGGUUGUAAAGUACUUUUGGCAGAGAAGAAAAGGUACCUCCUAAUACCUGCUACUGCUGACGGUAUCUGCAGAAUAAGCACCGGCUAACUACGUGCCAGCAGCCGCGGUAAUACGUAGGGUGCAAGCGUUAAUCGGAAUUACUGGGCGUAAAGCGUGUGUAGGCGGUUCGGAAAGAAAGAUGUGAAAUCCCAGGGCCUCAACCUUGGAACUGCAUUUUUAACUGCCGAGCUAGAGUAUGUCAGAGGGGGGUAGAAUUUCCACGUGUAGCAGUGAAAUGCGUAGAUAUGUGGGAGGAAUACCGAUGGCGAGGCAGCCCCCUUGGGAUAUACUGACGCUCAGACACGAAGCGUGGGGAGCAACAGGAUUAGAACCCUGGUAGUCCACGCCCUAAACGAUGUCACUAGCUGUGGGGCCGUUAAGCCUUAGUACGCACUACCGUGAAGUUGACCCCUGGGGGUACGUCGAAGAUAAACUCAAGCUUGACGGAACGCG
rnacentral:rRNA from 1 species